rfam:Nakamurella panacisegetis strain P4-7,KCTC 19426,CECT 7604 genome assembly, chromosome: I
AGCCAGUUUCUUCGGGGCGGAGCUCGACCGCCAACACAAGAAGUAGUCGCGUUCAUCGACGCCAACCGCGCCGAGUUCGGAGUCGAGCCGAUCAUCACCACGCUGGCCAGCGCCGAGGUGACGAUCGCUCCG